rnacentral:rRNA from 1 species
GUACGCUAUUCAGAGUUUGAUCCUGGCUCAGGAUGAACGCUGGCGGCGUGCUUAACACAUGCAAGUCGAACGAAGCACUUAUCAUUGAUUGGAGAGCUUGCUCAAAGAGAUUUGAUUUGUGACUUAGUGGCGGACGGGUGAGUAACGCGUGGGUAACCUGCCUCAUACAGGGGGAUAACAGUUGGAAACGACUGUUAAUACCGCAUAAGCGCACAGGACCGCAUGGUCUGGUGUGAAAAACUCCGGUGGUAUGAGAUGGACCCGCGUCUGAUUAGCUAGUUGGUGAGGUAACGGCUCACCAAGGCGACGAUCAGUAGCCGACCUGAGAGGGUGAUCGGCCACAUUGGGACUGAGACACGGCCCAA